UCCCUGGUGGCUCAGAGGAUAAAGCGUCUGUCUACAAUGCAGGAGACCCGGGUUCGAUCCCUGGGUUGGGAA
rnacentral:tRNA from 1 species